rnacentral:rRNA from 1 species
CAGCCGUAAACUAUGCUCGCUAGGUGUCAGGCAUGGCGCGACCGUGUCUGGUGCCGCAGGGAAGCCGUGAAGCGAGCCACCUGGGAAGUACGGCCGCAAGGCUGAACUUAAGGAUUGGCGGGGGGAGCACAACAACGGGUGGAGCCUGCGGUUUAAUUGGACUCAACGCCGGACAACUCACCGGGGACGACAGCAAUAUGUAGGCCAGGCUGAAGACCUUGCCUGAAUCGCUGAGAGGAGGUGCAUGGCGUAGACGUCU